rnacentral:rRNA from 1 species
UACGAAGGGAGCUAGCGUUGUUCGGAAUUACUGGGCGUAAAGCGCACGUAGGCGGCUUUGUAAGUUUAGAGGUGAAAGCCCGGAGCUCAACUCCGGAAUUGCCUUUAAGACUGCAUCGCUAGAAUUGUGGAGAGGUGAGUGGAAUUCCGAGUGUAGAGGUGAAAUUCGUAGAUAUUCGGAAGAACACCAGUGGCGAAGGCGACUCACUGGCCCGUUACUGACGCUGAGGCGCGAAAGCGUGGGGAGCAAACAGG